rnacentral:rRNA from 1 species
CCUACGGGAGGCAGCAGUGAGGGAUAUUGGUCAAUGGGCGCUAGCCUGAACCAGCGAAGUAGCGUGAAGGAUGACUGCCCUAUGGGUGGUAAACUUCUUUUGUAGGGGAGUAAAGUGCAGUAUGUAUACUACUUUGCAUGUACCUUAUGAGUAAGGAUCGGCUAACUCCGUGCCAGCAGCCGCGGUAAUACGGAGGAUCCGAGCGUUAUCCGGAUUUAUUGGGGUUAAAGGGAGCGUAGGCGGGUUGUUAAGUCAGUUGUGAAAGUUUGCGGCUCAACCGUAAAAUUGCAGUUGAUACUGGCAUCCUUGAGUACAGUAGAGGUAGGCGGAAUUCGUGGUGUAGCGGUGAAAUGCUUAGAUAUUACGAAGAACUCCGAUGGCGAAGGCAGCCUGCUGGACUGUAACUGACGCUGAUGCUCGAAAGUGUGGGUAGCAAACAGGAUUAGAUACCCUGGUAGUC